rnacentral:sRNA from 1 species
UCCGGCCCUGCGGGGCUAUGUGGCCUGGCUGCGGGCCAUGUUUCUCCAGCCAGACCUGGACUCCUUGGUUGACUUCAGCACCAACAACCAGAAGAAAGCCCAGGAUUCAUCGCUCCACAUGCCUGAGCGAGCUGUGUUCCGGCUGAGGAAAUGGAUCAUCUUUCGAUUGGUGAGCAUUGUGGACAGCCUGCACCUGGAGAUGGAGGAGGCCUUGACUGAGCAGGUGGCCAGGUUUUGUUUGUUCCACUCGUUCUUUGUCACAAAGAAGCCCACAUCCCAGAUCCCUGAGACAAAGCAUCCGUUCUCCUUCCCUUUGGAAAACCAGGCCCGAGAGGCUGUCAGCAGUGCCUUCUUCAGUCUGUUGCAGACCCUCAGCACGCAGUUCAAGCAGGCACCGGGCCAGACCCAGGGUGGGCAGCCCUGGACCUACCACCUGGUGCAGUUCGCAGACCUCCUGUUGAAUCACAGCCACAACGUGACCACCGUGACACCCUUCACUGCGCAGCAGCGCCAGGCCUGGGACCGGAUGCUGCAGACUCUGAAGGAGCUGGAGGCCCACUCCGCAGAGGCCAGGGCUGCUGCCUUCCAGCACCUUCUGCUCCUCGUGGGCAUCCACCUCCUCAAGGUACUGGGGCCUGGGAGGGAGGGGCCAUGAGCCUGGGGUUCUAUGGCACAAUGGGCCCCAUACCGAGAGGCUUUUGAGGGCUGUGCUACCGAGAGGCUUGAGGGCUGUGCGGGUUUCCAGGAAAGGUUCUGGGGGAGUUAAGUUGGGAGGUUUUUGAAGCCAACCUUGUCACAGGUGGAAACAUCCCUCCGGCCACUUAGCGGCACCAGCUGGUGUCCUAGGCUUUCCAUGCAGGAUCUCGUAAUCCCCACAGCUUUGAGGCAGACACCCCCUCUCCAUGUUUGACAUGGAGAAACU